rnacentral:tRNA from 1 species
GCCUGGCUGGCUCAAUCAGUAGAGCAUGUGACUCUUAAUCUUAGGGUCAUGAGUUCGAGCCCAUGUUGGGGU